ensembl:lncRNA
AGGGGAUACAUAGAGAGCAGUUGCUUUGCAAGAGUGUUCGGUGUAGAAGAAGGAAACAAACACUGAUCCAAGAAUACAUCUGAGUGAUCAUGGGUGGGACCCAAUGAGAAAAUUGAAAUACCAGAGUUCACAGCGCUUGAUAUCCAAAAAGAAGAGCCUUAUGGCUUCAGGACAUUCAGCGAGAGGAUGACCGAGGGAAACUGUGGGACCCGGCAUCUCCACACACAUACGUCUGUGAAAAAAAACAUCUUAACAGGGUUCCACAUAAAUGACCAUCUACAUCCAGACUAUGUGCCAUCUAUUUUUCUCCACUGACAGGAAUCUUGCUCUGAAAGAAAGCUCAGCUGUUUUGGCAAUGCAAGAAAACAAGAGAUGUGCGUCUCUCAAUUGCCACCACCCAAAAGAAAGAGGCUCCCCAGGACAUACAAUGCGGAUAGUAAUUCCAUCUUAUGUGAGCAAAAUGAAGACACUUCCGCUUUAUCAGAACCAAACGAAGACAAUGCUUCCUUAAGUGACGGUGAGCUAGAUAAAGAUGCACAACAUGAUACAAAAGAUAUCUUAGUGGGUUUCCUAAGGCCUGUUGCAGAAAGUGAAGGGGCUCAGAUGACAGUUGAAAUCAUCACUGAUGUUAAGCCUAGGGACAAAGUGUAAUUCCAC